GACGAACGCUGGCGGCGUGCUUAACACAUGCAAGUCGAGCGGAAAGGCCCUUUCGGGGGUACUCGAGCGGCGAACGGGUGAGUAACACGUGAGUAAUCUGCCCUUCACUUGGGGAUAACCUCCGGAAACGGUGGCUAAUACCCGAUACGACCAUUCCUCGCAUGAGGUGGUGGUGGAAAGUUUUUCGGUGGGGGAUGUGCUCGCGGCCUAUCAGCUUGUUGGUGGGGUAAUGGCCUACCAAGGCUUCGACGGGUAGCCGGCCUGAGAGGGUGACCGGCCACACUGGGACUGAGACACGGCCCAGACUCCUACGGGAGGCAGCAGUGGGGAAUAUUGGACAAUGGGCGGAAGCCUGAUCCAGCAACGCCGCGUGAGGGAUGACGGCCUUCGGGUUGUAAACCUCUUUCACCUGUGACGAAGCGAAAGUGACGGUAGCAGGAUAAGAAGCACCGGCCAACUACGUG
rnacentral:rRNA from 1 species